CCCAAGAGAUCGGGAUAACACCUGGAAACAGAUGCUAAUACCGGAUAACAACAGAUGAUGCCUAUCAACUGUUUAAAAGAUGGUUCUGCUAUCACUCUUGGAUGGGCCUGCGGUGCAUUAGCUAGUUGGUAGGGUAACGGCCUACCAAGGCGAUGAUGCAUAGCCGAGUUGAGAGACUGAUCAGCCACAUUGGGACUGAGACACGGCCCAAACUCCCUACGGGAGGCAGCAGCC
rnacentral:rRNA from 1 species